rnacentral:rRNA from 1 species
UACGUAGGGUCCAAGCGUUAUCCGGAAUCACUGGGCGUAAAGCGUGCGUAGGUGGAUGUUUAAGUGAGAGGUUAAAUCGUGUGGCUCAACCAUAUCGAUGCCUCUCAUACUGGGCAUCUAGAGGACAGCAGAGGCAAGUGGAACUAGUAGUGUAGCAGUGAAAUGCGUAGAUAUUACUAAGAACACCAAUGGCGAAGGCAGCUUGCUGGGCUACUCCUGACGCUGAGGUACGAAAGCGUGGGGAGCGAACAGG